CCAUCUUGCUGCCUGCAUGAAACUACCAGUAAUUACAUUGAAUUACUCCUAUGCAGGCCUUUGAUGUCUUACUUUUUUGUUUGUUUGUUAUAUCUUGAGUUAGUUAGUGAAAAAACACACACAGACUUGGUAAUCAGGGGUCUUCCAAGUGAGGAUCCACAGCUUGGAGGAGUCCCCUCGGAAAGAUGAUGUUAGUAAUCCAAACCCUGCUUGUGCAUCUUUGUCUCAGCCUGUCUCCGAUAGAGAGACAUAAGCUUUUAAUAGACUGAGAAAUUCCUUGGAGGUGUUUGUUAGUUUGCAAUUACUUUGCAAUUGAUUUUCUUAAAAAACAAUUCAUAACUUGUUAAAGAUCUUCCCUCCCUCCUUCUCUCCCAGUUUCCUUUUCCAUCUCUGUCACUGCCCAGUAUUUACAGUCAUAAAGCCUAUUUGUUUCCCAUUGCUUAGGGAGAUGAUUUUUUCUACAGAGAGAAAAAAAUGAGACCUAAUCAUUUGUAAAACUGGAUUUACAGUCAGAUCCUCCUGGGGACUGAGUAUAAUUCUUACAGUGAUGACUUCUGCAAAUGUAGUUUAGGUGGUUAACCUAUUUGCCUCUGUUUCCCUUUUUGUAAAAUAAGGUCUAUUUUAGAAUAGCUCCUGUAGACCAAAUGCUGUCAGUGAAUUUGUGAAUGGCUUAGGGGAAAUAUAGCAAAAUAUAGCAAAAGUGAAUGAAUGCUUCAUUCAGAAUGGAAGAACACUAAGAGCUGUCCUCCAAAACAAACCUGACUGUCUCCUAACACCUGCAACUUGCACACUCAGCAAUGAACCUUCCUGCUUUUCUCCACCAGGGCCUGCAGCUGGGAACUCAAGAGUUGGAGGAGAUGGGAAGCAAGUUUUGCCUUGCUCUGCUCAUUCUGCAUCUCAAAUCCUUGCCCUGCAGCAAGAAGGUGAUGGACCAGGCAGCGCUCCUGCUGGAUCUGGAUGAGGAGAUAACAGACCGAGCACAAAGGCUGGUGCCAUUUUUGUGGGUUUAAGGAGAAUGAAGUGUCUGUAGUUUAAACCCAGCUCUGUUGUCUUCUAUGGUUAUCAAAAAAAUGCACGGCAUCUUUGAAUCUUUUCUAUAUUUUCUUCUUAAGAAAGUGUGAGUAAAUGUGGAUAGAAAUACCCAAUUUAUUUUGUACCUUUGCCAAAGCAGAGUUAGACCUGGGGCCUGCACGUGCAACACAGGAUCAAUCUAGGUGGGUACCUUGUGGGAUUUCUUUCUUGUGUGCUUUAUAUUGUGAAUAGAGGUGUUUUUUAACACCCUGAAGGUAAACCCUUUUCCAACAGUCUGUACAACCCUGAUCCCAAGAAAUAUUAUUCAUAGAUGUUGAAGUGGGAAGCAUUAGCUCUGAUUGUAGCUAAUGCUUUUCUGGCAAAAUAAAGUGUGUCACAAAGACUGUCCUACUAGCA
rnacentral:lncRNA from 1 species